GUUCCGUGUAGUGGAUUGGCUGCUGACGUAAGUAUCGCAGCCCAUUCUCCAUGUCAACGUCAUCCCAAUCAUCACUGCGGAGCGCUGCAGUGAGCACCAUAUGUUCUGGCUUAUGUGACAUAUGUGGUCAAACAACCCCUUCCCACCAUCGUCCACUGCUUUCCAACCACGCCUUGUUGCUUUCCUUUCUUUUCUUUCAUUACAUUUCUUUAUUUUGUUUCAAACAUCUAGCCCAAAAGCAAUAUUGUUGCGAAAGCGUCGGGGUAGCAGAACCGUUAAUAAUAUGCUUAGCGGCAUUUCGUGCGUGUUUACAUUUUGUGCAUUCCAUUUAAUAAUUUUAAAUGACGUCUGUGAAGGGUUUUCGACGCCAGCGGAUUGUAAUACCUUGGGGAAGAAACGUUGUCCAAAAGAAAAUAUAGAUUUUAAUGCCAUUAAAAAAGGAGAUAAUUUUUGCGCGUAUAUAUGGAAAUAUUUUUCUUUACUAAGAAUGUAAAUACCGGAAGCAUUUUGAGUGUUUCGUUGAAAUAUCGCAUUAUUGUACGGAAUAUUACGGUUUCGUGUAUGAGCGCGCCUGUCCGGAAGAAAACCAUGGCUGUAACAACCGAGCUAAGACCGGACUCCUGACAGUAUUAAUUACUACAUAUCUAUUGUUAUUAGCAAAAAUUAUAUGAAUAAAUUUUGAGAUGUGAUUAAUAACGGC